rnacentral:misc_RNA from 1 species
AUUAAAUAUUACACUGGUCAUAUUAGUGAGAGAGUCAUACUACAAAAGAACAUCCCAGGCAACUGGAGCCAUAAACUUCACCCUCGAUUAAAAGAUAAUAAAGAAAGCAGUAAUCUAUAUCAUCUAUCUAAUGCUUUCAAAAAUUGAAUCCUCAUUACAGCCGCAGAGAUGGAGAAGAAUCCUGUUUAUUACUACCACCUGUUCUUGGGUGGUUUGACUUUAUAAAUUCUGACUAUCCAAUUAGAAGUCGUGAACGCCUCUUCCAAGUAUUCAAGUUUGAUGUCCUUGUUUCCUAUUUCAACUCCCCUGGCUCUAUCAUAUCCAGGAGGCUGGCCAUAUUCUGUUGUCAGCUCACCAAAGCGAUAAUAAGAUAGCUUGUACAUCAGACAGUUCAACAUCUUAGGCGCAGCACCUUUGUCAACACGAUACUCGCCAUUAACAAGGUAAUCUGGUUCUUUGAUGACGGGAAAAACUCCGCCACCUAUCCUCACCAUCCACAAGAAUUUGUUUAUGUCAUCAGAUGAAUACCCAGUUACACCUCCAAACACAACCAAUACAUAAUCCACAUCCAGUGAUCUCAUUAUUUCAUAUGCUUCAUCCUCAUAAGAU